rnacentral:rRNA from 1 species
GUAGGUGGCAAGCGUUGUCCGGAAUUAUUGGGCGUAAAGCGCGCGCAGGCGGCUUCCCAAGUCCCUCUUAAAAGUGCGGGGCUUAACCCCGUGAUGGGAAGGAAACUGGGAAGCUGGAGUAUCGGAGAGGAAAGUGGAAUUCCUAGUGUAGCGGUGAAAUGCGUAGAGAUUAGGAAGAACACCGGUGGCGAAGGCGACUUUCUGGACGAAAACUGACGCUGAGGCGCGAAAGCGUGGGGAGCAAACAGGAUUAGAUACCCUGGUAGUCCACGCCGUAAACGAUGGAUACUAGGUGUAGGAGGUAUCGACCCCUCCUGUGCCGGAGUUAACGCAAUAAGUAUCCCGCCUGGGAAGUACGAUCGCAAGAUUA